GAGAGCGGGUGUAGAGUAAGCAGCAGAAUAUUAGUGUAGGACUAGAAGGAGAGAUUAAAAACAGAAGACUUGUGUGUGAAUGUCUGGUUGAGGAGAAGCAGAGGGGAUGAGAGACUUAAGAAGUUCAGUUUAGCGUGAGGGUUAAGAAACGGUCUGCCCAGUUCCAUCUAAACACCCCUUUUGUUUCAGAGGAACAUUAGCAAUCGUUCUUGGAAGAGCUGCAUCUGGACUUCUCGAACUUUGAGACGGAGUUCAGACGGAGACAGCGGUAAUAAAACAUGUUCAAAAACUGACUAAGCCUUCCCUGGAAACCUGGACAACGCUACAAUUCCUAAGAAGGUGUGGCUGAGGAAUGGGCAGCAGAGCUUUAAUCUUCUGCCAGGCCUGUGAGGCACAUCUGGAAUAAACCGGGCAAAACGUCUCGGGCCGUGCCUCUCUGGCCACGGUCACCGGACCCGGUCCAAAUGAACCCUUUCACCCUAUGCUGCUCUACUGGGUUGAGCUUAGGCCAGUAGACAGGAAGAAUUCUCACACUCCGUCUGCCCUUGAUCUUUCUCAGCCAUCUGCGAUACUCUGUCACCCUUUGUUGAGUCCUGUUUUUGUCCCUGGGUUCUGGUGGAGAUCUGGUGGCCACUCAAACAUCUGACUUUUUUCUCACUACAUUUCUUGCUCACAAACAUAGACAUUCGUCUUUGUGGUUUGUAAAACAAAUAGAAGCUUGAGACAGAUACAGUUUGUCUGUUUCAUGGCUACUUCUUGAAUAUAAUUUCAGAAUUAAAUUCACCUAUUAAAGCAUUCAGGGAACCGCCUCAAAGGUUCUUU